rnacentral:rRNA from 1 species
CAGGCCUAACACAUGCAAGUCGAGCGCCCUCUUCGGAGGGAGCGGCGGACGGGUGAGUAACACGUGGGAACGUGCCCUUCGGUUCGGAAUAACUCAGGGAAACUUGAGCUAACACCGGAUACGCCCUUCGGGGGAAAGGUUACGCCGAUGGAGCGGCCCGCGUUGGAUUAGCUAGUUGGUGAGGUAAAGGCUCACCAAGGCUACGAUCCAUAGCUGGUCUGAGAGGAUGAUCAGCCACACUGGGACUGAGACACGGCCCAGACUCCUACGGGAGGCAGCAGUGGGGAAUAUUGGACAAUGGGCGCAAGCCUGAUCCAGCAAUGCCGCGUGAGUGAUGAAGGCCUUAGGGUUGUAAAGCUCUUUUACCNCGGGAAGAUAAUGACUGUACCGGGAGAAUAAGCUCCGGCUAACUCCGUGCCAGCAGCCGCGGUAAU